rnacentral:sRNA from 1 species
AGAGGAAAAGAGCCGUUCCCAGUUUUCUAAGA